GCAUUGGUGGUUCAGUGGUAGAAUUCUCGCCUGCCACGCGGGAAACUCGGGUUCGAUUCCCGGCUAAUGCA
rnacentral:tRNA from 14 species